rnacentral:rRNA from 1 species
CUACGGGCUGCUGCAGUGAGGAAUUUUGCGCAAUGGGGGAAACCCUGACGCAGCAACGCCGCGUGAGCGAAGAAGGCUUUCGGGUCGUAAAGCUCUGUCAGAUAGGAAAAAAGUUCAUAUGUAAAUAGCUUAUGAAUCUGAUGGUACUAUCAGAGGAAGCACCGGCUAACUCCGUGCCAGCAGCCGCGGUAAUACGGAGGGGCAAGCGUUGUUCGGAAUUACUGGGCGUAAAGGGCGUGUAGGCGGUAGGGUAAGUCAGAUGUGAAAGCCCUGGACUUAACUCAGGAAGUGCAUUUGAUACUGCCAUCCUUGAGUAUGGGAGAGGAGAGUAGAAUUCCCAGUGUAGAGGUGAAAUUCGUAGAUAUUGGGAGGAAUACCCGUGGCGAAGGCGACUCUCUGGACCAAUACUGACGCUGAGACGCGAAAGCGUGGGGAGCAAACAGGAUUAGAUACCCGUGUAGUC